CGAAGCAUCAUGUGUUUAUUUGUCUUUGAAGGAUGAUGGCCAUGUCAUAACAUGUCUGAACCUGUAAGUGUGGCUGUCUGCUGAGUUUGUAGAUCUGCAUGUCGGGGUGUAGCUUAUUGUGUGCAUGCACAUGUGUAGGCAUGUGUGUAGUUGUCUUUGUGUAUCCUUCUGCAAAUAUAAUGGUCAGUGUGUCAGUCAUGUCAGGGUCAGUAACCACGUCUCUUAUGUAGUUAUGUUCAUAGUUGCUUGUUUAGCUAUAUUGUGUGUGGCUGCAUGUACGUAGUUAUGCUUGUUGUGUGUGAUCAUGAGGAUGUUUGGCUGUAAGUCUGAAGUUGUUACAGUUGCUGCGUGCUCCCAGCAUCUGACAAAAGCUCUAAGUGGCUGGGACUUCAGUAAUUGGCAGUAAACCCCAGGCCUGAGCUGCAACGUGGAAGAUCCGUCUUAUUACAGGAAGCGUGUCCUCCUCUCCCUAACCACCACUGGGCGGGCCCACUUUCGCUCCCAGAGCAGGCUCCACCUUUCUAGGUCACAUGCCCAGAGCUCUGUGCCCACCCAGAUGCUGCCAAGAACCCAGGCGCAGACGUGGCUGCAGACUGGCUCUGUGCUACAGGGACCCUGAGGCCAGACUUGCAUCUUUCCUGGAGAAAGCUCUGGGGACUUCCACAGGAAUCCUCACCAAGGGACACCAUUUCCUCUUCCCAUUUCACAGAAGAGGAAAUCGAGGCCAGAGAGGGAAAGUAGAGUGGUGGGUCUAGGUCCAUAAAAGGAGUGAGGGGAGGCCAGGGCAGGUCCCUUCCUCCUCAGCCAAGCUGCCUUUCUCAGGUCUCCUAAGCUGCCCCCGCACGCCUCACCCAGAGGCCCAGAAUCUCCUGGCCCAAACCUGAGGUCAGCAAGGGGCAGGGCUGGGAUAACCUGUCUACUUGAGUUGGAAUUUGGUUCAGGAACUCCGGGCUGGGCUCUGCCGCCCCCAGUUGAGCCUGAUGACUUGAGGCUCAGUCUCACUGACUUCGGAGCAUCCUGGAAUGGGGGCUCCCAACACUCUGCAGGUUUCUGUGGUUCCCCUGGCUGUGCAAAAGCAGGAGUCACUCUCUAAGCCUUCCCAAGCACCAGUCCAGGUCUUCCUAAGGGUUUCACAUCUCUUCCACCCUCACCACCACCAGCAGAGACAAAAAUCCACUGACAUUCCUUCCCAGGAGGUAGGUAAUCUCAUUUUACAGAUGAAGAAACUGAGGCUCUGGUCUUUAUAUGGACACCAACUCAUUACUGCCCAUGUCUACUGGAGAGCUCCCUGACACUCCAUGGAUCCAGCAACCUCUCCCUCUUCCCUGCUCUAAAACCACCCUUAGGGUCCACCCCUCUCUCAAGCUCUUAGGAUUACACAAUGUGCUGGAAACGCAGGUCCUGCUCCAGCACAUGCCUACAGAUGGUGGGAGGAGGAGGGCGCUGGGACAGGGCAAAGUGAGGGACCUGCCUGCUGGACUACCCUCCUCUCUCUUCCCUCUCCUGGUGAGCUCCAGCCCUCCCCGUCCAAGGCCAAGUUUGCUUGUCUAGGCAACAGGGCGGCAGCCAACUUGAGGCAAAGAUCACAGGGAGGAUCAAACAUUAACUUCAAGUCGGCCUGAGCGCUAAGGGCUCCUGGCACUGAGCACUCAGGGAUCCGCAGUCAGGGUCAGGACACUGCCUCCCCAAUGGGAUUGGAUCUGGAAGGGAGGAAACAGAAUCAUGCCUCCACAGCUGUGCACACAUCUGUGUUCCUGUGGAAGGACCUUCCAAGUGUCCCCAGCAGACCCAGAUCCCUUCCUAAACGGUGGACUCACCUGGCUUCUGAUGACAAAUUGAAAUUAAAAUAGAGUGAUCACAGUUCAGGCAUACAAAAAUGGAGUCCGGUAGCAGUUGAGGAUCUGGUUUCAGACACAUCUGUGCAUCACUGAAAACCUGAACUUUCUUUGAGCGGUACCAGAUCCACGGACAUCACCAGAGUACGCAGAGCAACACUUGCCAGCUGCAAACCUUAUGGUCUCAAGGUCUCUCUUUGUAAUUAUGCAACCAUUUCGGACCCCAACCGGUCCUUACUUAGUAAGCACUUUUACUUCUGGCCAGCUCCGAUUGUAAUUCUUGAUAAACAACUCCUGUA